UCCGCCUCGUCGGCGGCAGUCUGGCUAGAGUGCCCACCUUCGUGUUGGCAACUAACCACAGGGGUUGCGCUCGUUGCGGGACUUAACCCAACACCUCACGGCACGAGCUGACGACGACCAUGCACCACCUGUAUCCGCUCAAGAGCAUUCGCCCUCGUCGUUCCCCUUUCAGUUCACUACCACGGAUAUGUCAAGACCUGGUAAGGUUCUUCGCUUAACGUCGAAUUAAACCACACGCUCCACCGCUUGUGCGGGCCCCCGUCAAUUCCUUUGAGUUUCAUCCUUGCGGACGUACUCCCCAGGCGGCUCACUUAUUGCGUUUGCUUCAGCGCAGAGCACGCUAUGCGCCCCACACCUAGUGAGCAUCGUUUACGGCCAGGACUAC
rnacentral:misc_RNA from 1 species